rnacentral:rRNA from 1 species
UAGGGAAUCUUCGGCAAUGGGGGCAACCCUGACCGAGCAACGCCGCGUGAGUGAAGAAGGUUUUCGGAUCGUAAAGCUCUGUUGUAAGUCAAGAACGGGUGUGAGAGUGGAAAGUUCACACUGUGACGGUAGCUUACCAGAAAGGGACGGCUAACUACGUGCCAGCAGCCGCGGUAAUACGUAGGUCCCGAGCGUUGUCCGGAUUUAUUGGGCGUAAAGCGAGCGCAGGCGGUUUGAUAAGUCUGAAGUUAAAGGCUGUGGCUCACCAUAGUUCGCUUUGGAAACUGUCAAACUUGAGUGCAGAAGGGGAGAGUGGAAUUCCAUGUGUAGCGGUGAAAUGCGUAGAUAUAUGGAGGAACACCGGUGGCGAAAGCGGCUCUCUGGUCUGUAACUGACGCUGAGGCUCGAAAGCGUGGGGGAGCGAACAGGAUU